UACAGAGACUGCAAGCGUUAUUCGGAUUCACUGGGCGUAAAGGGUGCGCAGGCGGUUGUGUGUGUCAGGUGUGAAAGCCCGGGGCUUAACCCCGGAAUUGCGCCUGAAACUACAUGACUAGAGCAUUGGAGAGGGUAGCGGAAUUCACGGUGUAGCAGUGAAAUGCGUAGAUAUCAGGAGGAACACCGGUGGUGUAAACGGCUUUCUGGACCAUAACUGACGCUGAGGCACGAAAGCGUGGGUAGCAAACAGG
rnacentral:rRNA from 1 species